CUCUAAUUUAUCCACAGGACAGGUACAGCAGCGGCAGUGCGAGCUACCCCCACACCCCAUCCAUGUGCCUCAACUCUGACCUGGAGGGACCACCUCAGGAGCUGACCAAGCUGCACCAGUUGGCGAUGCAACAGUCGCACUUCCCGAUGUCUCAUGGCAACACUGGAUUCAGCGGCCUUGACUCCAGCUCUGCAGAGGUGAAAGGCUAUUGGGGUAAUGCCGAAAACGCCCCAAAUCU